GCCGGGCGCAGUGGCGCACGCCUGUAGUCCCAGCUAAUCGGGAGGCUGAGGCAGGAGGAUUGCUUGAGCCCAGGAGUUCUUGGCUGUAGUGCGCUAUGCCGAUCGGGUGUCCGCACUAAGUUCGGCAUUAAUAUGGUGACCUCCCGGGAGCGGGGGACCACCAGGUUGCCUAAGGAGGGGUGAACCGGCCCAGGUCGGAAACGGAGCAGGUCAAAAGCAUAUGAGUUUUUUACUUUGACUUUUUCAAGUCUGGUUCUUAAAAGCAUAUGAGUUUUU
rnacentral:SRP_RNA from 1 species